AGUGAACGCUGGCGGUAGGCCUAACACAUGCAAGUCGAACGGCAGCACAGUAAGAGCUUGCUCUUACGGGUGGCGAGUGGCGGACGGGUGAGGAAUACAUCGGAAUCUACUUUUUCGUGGGGAUAACGUAGGGAAACUUACGCUAAUACCGCAUACGACCUACGGGUGAAAGCAGGGGAUCUUCGGACCUUGCGCGAUUGAAUGAGCCGAUGUCGGAUUAGCUAGUUGGCGGGGUAAAGGCCCACCAAGGCGACGAUCCGUAGCUGGUCUGAGAGGAUGAUCAGCCACACUGGAACUGAGACACGGUCCAGACUCCUACGGGAGGCAGCAGUGGGGAAUAUUGGACAAUGGGCGCAAGCCUGAUCCAGCCAUACCGCGUGGGUGAAGAAGGCCUUCGGGUUGUAAAGCCCUUUUGUUGAGAAAGAAAAGCAGCAGGUUAAUACCCCGCUGUUCUGACGGUACCCAAAGAAUAAGCACCGGCUAACUUCGUG
rnacentral:rRNA from 1 species